rnacentral:rRNA from 1 species
CCAAUAGCGUAUAUUAAAGUUGUUGCAGUUAAAAAGCUCGUAGUUGAAUUUCGGGAUCAACAUGUCGGUCGUGCCUCCGGUACGUACUGGUAUCGUUGAUUUCUACCUUCUGACGAACCAUGAUGUCAUUAAUUUGGUGUCAUGGGGAAUCAGGACUGUUACUUUGAAAAAAUUAGAGUGUUUAAAGCAGGCACACGCUUGAAUACAUUAGCAUGGAAUAAUGAAAUAGGACGUUUGACCCUAUUUUGUUGGUUUCUAGGAUCGACGUAAUGAUUAAUAGGGAUAGUUGGGGGCAUUAGUAUUCAAUUGUGAGAGGUGAAAUUCUUGGAUUUAUUGAAAACUAGCUACUGCGAGAGCAUUUGCCAAGGAUGUUUUCAUUAAUCAAGAACGAAAGUUAGGGGAUCGCAGACGAUCAGAUACCGUCGUAGUCUUAACCAUAAACUAUGCCGACUAGGGAUCGGAUGAUGUUAAUUUUUUAAUGACUCAUUCGGCGCCUUAC